rnacentral:rRNA from 1 species
GCUUAACACAUGCAAGUCGAGCGAGAAUCGUUUAUUGAAGGCUUCGGCUGGAAAUAGAUGAGGAAAGCGGCGAACGGGUGAGUAACGCGUGGGCAACCUGGCCUUAAGAAAAGGAUAGCCCCCGGAAACGGGGAGUAAUACUUUAUGAGAAUGAAAGAGGGCAUCCUACUUUCAUUCAAAGCGCAAGCGCUUAAGGAUGGGCCCGCGUAUCAUUAGCUAGUUGGUGAGAUAACAGCCCACCAAGGCAACGAUGAUUAGCCGGUCUGAGAGGGCGAACGGCCACAUUGGAACUGAGGGACGGUCCAAACUCCUACGGGAGGCAGCAGUGGGGAAUAUUGCGCAAUGGAGAAGAACUCUGACGCAGCAAUACCGCGUGAGCGAAGAAGGUCUUCGGAUCGUAAAGCUCUGUUAUCAGGGAAGAAGAAAAUGACGGUACCUGAUGAGCAAGUCCCGGCUAACUACGUGCCAGCAGCCGCAGUAAGAC